UGAGGCAGUUGAUUUUAAGCAUAUAAGGUUACAUAAUAGUUAUACUCUUUCCCUAGUUACGGAUUAUUCCCACAGGGUUUUUCCUAACAAAGAUUCUUAAUAAGACAAUGUCUAUUAUGAAUUAUAAGUGGACAUUCAAGGCGGAGUGUUGAGAAACAGUGGAUUGGAAAUUCUCACUGUUCAAGCAUAGUGAAUGUCCUGACAUGCAUUUAAUGCAUGUUAGGAAAAGUUUUUCCUCCGCGCAAAAUAUGUUGAAAGUGUAAUGUUAAAACAGUAUAAUUUUUGCCUAUAAAUACCGGUGUAAGAAAUCAGUUCUACACAUCAAUACAAAUACCAUACUCUUCUAAUAAAUUCCUUUCAGUAACAUUCCUUCUAUAUAUCUAUUCUCACAACAGAUUUUUUGAAUGUACACAUUGAGUCAAAUUUAACAAAAUCCCACAUGACUACAUGAGUAUGUUUUUUCUAUACAUUAAUAAGAAUAUUUGGUCAAAGUUUAUAAAAUUUGACUCCCAAAAUAGAAACAAGAACUAUAUUUUGGGAUGAAUAAAGUAUUAUUUUUUUGUAAAUUUUUUGUUAACAUUGUUGAUUUUGUAUUGUUGUAAAAUGAGAUUUUUCAACAUCAUUUUAUUUACAUACUUCCUCUAUUCUUUUUCUACAGCUCGUCUUGCCAGAGACGGCCUAAUUGUAAUAAUAAAAUUAGGCGGAGCCCAAUAGGCCCAUAACAGAAAUACCCACCCCACAAACCCAAAUCCCAAAAACUAAAACCUAAAAAAAUUAAAAGAAACGCGCGUAUUAUUCACUUGAGAGCUUUUUUUCCCACUGACAGUUUCUUAUUCAACCUCACUUCUCUCUCUCGAAAUUCUGCCAAUUUUCAACCGAAAAAAAGUUCAAAAAUGCAUGAUUCUACUAAAUUUCGGUGGAACCAUCAAUUUACACACAAAAGAUCAUUACAUCAACUGUUUUCUAAUCAUAUUUUCUUCAAUUUCUGGUUUGUUUUUCUAAUAAUUUAAUGAAUUCUUUUAAACUGCGAUUUUUUUAGGCUUUUUUAUACAAUUAAUCUGGUGUAUAAUAGCGAAAUAUGACAAGACGAAAGAAAAAAUCGCCAAAAACGCCAACAAAUGAAGAUACACACAAUCAAGACACAAAAAAAGCAAAACCAUACAAUACUGUGACAGAAACUCUAACCGAGAUGAAGAAAAAGGCAGCUAAUGAUAGGAAAGUGUAGCAAAGGAAAAAAGGCGCUGACCACCUAAAAUACCAAAGAAAACUGAGGAAAGAACAUCUCCUCCCAUAAUUGAAGAAGAACAAGCUGAAGCUGAGCCAAACAAGAGGACAGAUGAAGGAAACCCAACAGAACAACCUCAAGGAAAGGGAGGAAAAAGACGCAAACAACCUCUAACAAAGGAAGAAAAAGAUCCAAAAGAGUUACCUAAAGGAAAAAGAAUGAAAUCGGGAAAAUAGAGUACUCCAAAGGAUUCACUACAAUCACCUGAAAGAAGAAUCAUAACAAGGGGAAUGAAGACUCCUCCAGAGAAUGAAAGGGAAACUCGAGAGCAAACUCCUUCAGAGUACGAGAUAAGCAUUUCUCCAAAGGGUUCAACAGAGUCACAUGAAAGAAAGGGAGGUAAACAAAAAAGAAACAACCUACUAACAAUGCUGAAAAAGUUCGUACACCACAAUCACCUAGUACACAAGCAAAGAAGAAAGGAAAACAACCUUUGAAAGAGAUUGAUCAAGAUGGUUCUCCAGAAAAAACCCCUAAAACCAGGUUGACAUUUCAUUCAUUUUUAAAUUAUGUCAUUCAUAUUUAUUGAUCAUUUGCAAAAAUAUUUCAUUCAUGUUUUAUAAUACAGUAUUAGUUGAUAUUUUA